CCACGGGGCUGCGCCAUUCACUCGUGAAGGGUCACGUUUUCCAUCUGGUCUGGGGCAUCCUGAGGAGAGGAGAUGCCCAAAGCAGCUUUUCCCCGGCGAGGGAUGGGGCCGAGGAGAAUCAGGUGAAUCCGAUGGUGACAGAGGGGUUUGAAGUUUUUUGACUGCUUCUCCCAGCUCGAUUUUCCCAGACGGUUUGAAGUCCGAGCAAACCCUGAGUGUCUCAAAGAUGAGUAAUCAGGCAUCACUUUACUUUGCAGACCGCAGCUGAGUCACUUUUCAGUUGCUGCUCAGGGCGGACAGAGAAAUCCUAUCUCCUGUGAAAGGAAAAUUGGCCGCCGGAGUCCCAAAAGUGCCCCGAGGAUCAACUGAAAUGAAAGUAAACCGAUAAUUUCCAGAUCGCGUGGAAAACAGAGGGAUAUCGAAUUUAAGCACCGCAAGCUCAGCCCGUCAGGACGAGCCUGUCCUGGAGCACUUUAUCUCGCUGCCAUUCGAGGGAGAUGCCCAGCUGUCCACUUGGGAAAGAAAAGAACAAAAAGGAAGCAGAUCCCUGGGUUUGAUCCCUCCUGGUCGGGCUGCAGUGCUCUGGGGCUGGAGGAGCCCUGGGGAGGUGGGUAUGGAUUUAACCUGGGCACCAACUGUGAGGUUCAUGCUGCAAAAUGCCCCUCACACAGCCCUGGGCAUCCUCCGAGCUGCCCUUGCCCCCAGGGAUCCCAAUCCUCAUGUGUGGCCCAAGGUUUGAACCCAUGAGCUGAAAUAUUACACCCUGAAAAGUCAAGAGAGUGCACCAACCUGCAGGGACCAGGGGAAGAAACUCCACAAAUUAGC
rnacentral:lncRNA from 1 species